GAUUUCUGGCUUCAAGCAUUUGGCCGGCCACGGUUUCGUGUGUUAGUGCCUUGUGCUGUGGCCAUCCUUCCAAUCGCUAUUGGCUUAUCUUCAUUGAUAGGUCAGUGGUAUUGGAUCUUUUACUUUGAAAAAAUUAGAGUGUUUCAAGCAGGCUUUAUGCUAUGAAUACAUUAGCAUGGAAUAAUAAUUUAGGACUUCGGUUCUAUUUUGUUGGUUUCUAGGACUGAAGUAAUGAUUGAUAGGGAUAGUUGGGGGUGCUAGUAUUCAGCGGCCAGAGGUGAAAUUCUCGGAUUCGCUGAAGACUAACUUAUGCGAAAGCAUU
rnacentral:rRNA from 1 species